AUUGAACGCUGGCGGCAGGCCUAACACAUGCAAGUCGAACGAGUGGCGGACGGGUGAGGAAUGUCUGGGAAACUGCCUGAUGGAGGGGGACAACUACUGGAAACGGUAGCUAAUACCGCCUACCAUCAAAUGUGCCCAGAGGUGAUUAGCUAGUUGGGGGGGUAACGGCUCACCAAGGCGACGAUCCCUAGCUGGUCUGAGAGGAUGACCAGCCACACGGGAACUGAGACACGGUCCAGACCCCGACGGGAGGCAGCAGUGGGGAAUAUUGUACAAUGGGCGCAAGCCUGAUGCAGCCAUGCCGCGUGUAUGAAGAAGGCCUUCGGGUUGUAAAGUACUUUCAGCGGGGAGGCGUUACCCGCAGAAGAAGCACCGGCUAACUCCGUGCCAGCAGCCGCGGUAAUUC
rnacentral:rRNA from 1 species